UAAAAAAAAAUGAGAAAAAAAGAUAAAUGAAGGAAAAGAAAGAGAAGGCAAGAAAGAGCAGGUAUUUCCCUUGACCUUAAUGAUCCUGGUUGCUAACUGCAGUGGAAUUCUGACCCCUCACCGUUGACUCUCACUGUUAUGUAAGCACGGGCUUUGAAACGUCUCUCUGGCUUUUGUAUGCUGAUAGGAGAAUCACAGCACAGAACAGAUGUAGUCAGGAGGUGAACAUGCAAUCAAAGAGCCGCCGUUGGCAGAAGCUUGACAGGCUAGACUGACAUAAGGGGAGACUGGAAGCCCAAAGAAAAACCCACCGGACGACAUUCUACAGAACCCACCCUCUUCCUCUGAGAGGGCCCUGUCCAAGUGAAGGUGGAGGACAUGAUGGACUUGGAGAUACAGAACCACUGAAACAAGGAGGAGGCUACAUACAACAUUCAAGACGGUAAACAAGUGUGAGAUACCCAGGUGGAAAUAGAGAAGUGGGGAGGGGGAACAACACAUCCGUCGCUCUCACGGAUCCUUCUCGCCCAGUUCUCUUAAAUUUCUGCACUCUUGAGGUAGUCUAGAUCCACUCCAUUUUUGUGCUGUCUACAUUCCUUUCCACUCUAGGUCUGAAAAAUACCUUCCGUCAGACCCGGAGUCUUCCUGGAUGCCAAGAGAAAUGGGAUGAAGUUUGGGAAGAAAGGGGGUGGGAACUUAAGCCGAUUCGAUCCAUACUGGAUCCACUAACGUUUCUGACUCUGUACUACGCUUCCGGGAAGGUACAGAAGACACAAAUUGUAGGGCAAGUGAGCCUUACAGACAGGCAUAAGAACUGGAGAGGUGAGGCUCAAAUCCUGGGAAUCUCAGAGAUCUGAGAUGGUGGGGUGGAACUGCUCCUUCACAGCCUCAAGGCCUGCUCUGGAACACAUAACAAAGACCACCAACUGAGAAGACCCAGGGUAGUCUCUGAAUGCAGUACCUGAAGUCCUUCCCCAGCAAAUCCCAAACUCAGCCAAAAGAAAACAUUUACCACCAAAUCCCACCCACUCCCCCAAGUUUUAUAUAGUCAGUCCUAUCCCCAUGGGAUAAAGCACACAGGGUUUUCUGACAGUGGCUGUCUUCACUGUAACAUUUGGGGAAGAGCUCCCUCUCCGAAAGCACUCGUGGUUGGAUCUUGGAUCCCUGUGGCUAGCCAGGCUCUCACUGCCUGCAGAGACUCACGUCAGAGCAGCAGCAGCUGAUGCAGCCACAGCUGCCACCACUGUCACUGCAGCUGUUGUGGGACCUGGGACCCAGGCUACCUGAGGAACCUGUCUGUCCCAGGCUGCUCUUCACCCUCCUUGACCUGGCAAACAGAGACACCGGACACAACAGAGGGAAGUGGGCAUCCAGACACCCCUGGCAGAGAGGCAGAAUUCAAUACCACAGCAAAUGAGAGCCUUGAUUCAUUCUCAGAAGAAAAGUAGUUGAAAGAAAGGGUAUGGAAUUUAGAAUCGUAGGACUGGGUUUAAAUUCCUGCACAUGCUACGAACAGCACGUUAAUCUUAGCAUAGUUACUGAACACCCUUUGUUUCAUUAUCUGUGAAGCGGAACUGAUAAGACAACCAUCUCCUGGUGGUAAGAGCAGCAGCAACUUACUAGCAUCUGGGGAUUUUUGUUUCUUUGUUUAUUUUUGGUUUUCCAAGACGGGAUUUCACUGUGUAGCCCUGGCUGUCCUGGAACUCACUCUGUGGACCAGGCUGGCCUUGAACUCACAGAGAUCCGGCUGCUUCUGCAUUCCCAAACACCGGGAUUAAAGGCAUGCACCAUCACCAGUCAGCUACCAUUCCAGUAACCCAGGAAUCGAUCAGAAGCCAAGGCCAGAGUGCUGCUGUUGCAACGGCAACGAGUGAGCUAUUAAGAAAGCCUGCAACAAAUCUCCAGCCUCCGGUGUCUUUCAGAAGCCAGAACUAUAGACCUGUGGCUUACUGGACAGUCACGGGCAAGGUGAACUACACAUCACUAAGUCUAUUCUGGUUUAACCCACGGAUAUGGAUGACGAAAGGAGAAAUUCAGAGAGACACAACAGCGUGCAUUUUCAAUCUCCCACUUCAAGCCAAAAGCCACUCGGAUCGUUUGAGCUGUGUGCUGGAGAAAACUGGUUUGGAGAAACCUGCCUCUCGAGGGCUAACUUCAGGUAAACCAUGCUUCUGGGCUGCAGGAUGCCUCCUGAGAGGGUGGACUACUCUGCUGCCAGAAAUGUACCUGGCCAAAGGAAGAUCGGGCAGAGAGGGAAGGAAGAGCCAACCAGGGAUGACCCCACCUGAGGAUCCGUCACGUCUGCAGACACCAAACCCAACUGUUGCAGUGGUCACGAGGCGCUGGCUGACAGGAACGUAGUGUUGUGGUUCCUUGGGAGGUCAGGCCAGGCAACUGACCUAUGCAGAUGCAGAUGCUUGGAGCCAACCAUCAUACUGAACUCAGGGAACCUGGUCAGGGAGCUGGCGGAAGGACAGGAGGAACAGAGGGGCAUUGCAACCACAUUGGAAGGACAACACAGGCUGGCCUGACCACCCACUUCUCCUCAAGUCUAGACCUCCAACCAAGGAGUGGACCUGCGGGGAUUCAUGGCUCCAAAUACAUAUGUAGCAGAGGAUAGACUUGCUUGACAGCAACAGGAGGGGAGGCCCUUGGUUUUGGGGAGGUUUGAGGCCCCAGGGAAGGGGGAUGCUGGAGCAGUGGGACAGGAGAGUGUGCGGGGGCCACCCUCAUACAGGAAAAAGGGAGGGGGAAAG
rnacentral:sRNA from 1 species